UACGAAGGGGGCUAGCGUUGUUCGGAAUCACUGGGCGUAAAGCGCACGUAGGCGGAUCUUUAAGUCAGGGGUGAAAUCCCGAGGCUCAACCUCGGAACUGCCUUUGAUACUGGGGAUCUCGAGUCCGGGAGAGGUGAGUGGAACUGCGAGUGUAGAGGUGAAAUUCGUAGAUAUUCGGAAGAACACCAGUGGCGAAGGCGGCUCACUGGUCCGGUACUGGACGCUGAUGUGCGAAAGCUAGGGGAGCGAACAGG
rnacentral:rRNA from 1 species